rnacentral:lncRNA from 1 species
GUCCGAUUUGUGUGUUUUUAGAAGCACGGUAAGCAUCAUGCUACCAAAUUAUUUUCGAUACUAAGACUUCCUAAACAAUGAUCGGCUUUUUUAUAUUUAAUCUAAAGUAUUCGAAAUAUCUGAAAAAUAAAUUUUGUUAUUUUUCGAUAUCAUUUACCUAGUAAUAAAAAAAACUCAAGUCAAUGGCCGGAAAUAAAUAGUUCAUAAAAAGUGACAAUAUAUGGUGCCGAAAAUUUUAGAUCGAAAAUAUAAAACUUAUUUUAUAUAGUAUGAAAAAAAAAUUUAAAAUUUUAUAUGAUUUGAAUAUUUCUAAAUCGUUAAAUUUGCAAACAGAAUGAAUAGAACAACUUUAGCAUGCUCGAUUCGAAAGCAUUUUGCAAGGGAUACAGAAUUAUAUAUAUGUGUGUCUUGGCUAGGAAAAUUUUUCCAAAUUAAGUCGAGAAAUUUUAGAGCAUACUUAGGGCUGGCAAAUGAGCGAGCCGGCUCGUGUUCGACUCGCGUUCGGCUCGAUAUUCGGCUCGCUCAAGCUUGGCUUGAAUUAAUUUCAAGUGGAGCUUGAGCCUAAAUUUAGACUCAAAAUUAAUUUUAAGCCAANCGUUUGCAAGUUUAACGGUGUAGAAAUAUCUAAAUCACAUGAAAUUUUGAUAGAAAAUUUUUUAUACCAUAUAAAACAAGAUCAAUAACUUUGAUCUAAAAUUUUAAUGUCAUAUCAUCAUAUUUUGUAAGAUUUUUAUUUUCAGUCGUUGAUUUUGAGCCACUUCGAUCACUAGGCAAAUGAUAUCGAAAAAUCGCAAAAUUUAUUUUUUAGAUACUUCAAAUACUCUAGAUCAAGUCUAACGGAGCCGAUCUUCGAUUUGAAAGUCCGAACAUCGAAAAUAACUUGGAAGCACGGAGCGCUCCGUGCUUCCAGAAGAAUACCAGACGCACUAUAUAUAUAUAUAUAUAUAUAUAGUUUACUAUACUAUUAAUAGUACCAACCACUUGCUAUUAGGUUUUCGGCCCUUGGAUAAAGGGAUGUAUACUUAGGAUGAUAGUGAUUCCCUAUAGUUAAGUGGGUGGUUAGUUGAAUAGUAUGAUUUAUCGGAUGAAAUUAGUCAAAGGGGUAGAUCUAAUGGCACAAAAAUUCGAUACCACUACGCAUUUGGUGCUAUCGAUAAUAUAGUAGCUGGACUCUCUCUAUCUCUCUCUCUCUCUCUCUCUCUAUAUAGUCCGUCUAUUAUACUAUCUAUAGUACUAAUCGUUUUGUGCUAUCGAGUUUUCUGCCGUUAGAUCUACUUAUAUAUAUAGAAUCCGGCUAUUAUACUAUUGAUAGUACCAAGCAUUUGGAGCUAUCGAGUUUUCUGCCGUUAGAUCUACCCCUUUGGUCAUUUUCAUCCAUUAGAUCAUACUAUUCAACUAUCCACCUCCUCAACCUUAGUGGCUACUAUCAUCCUAACUAGACAUCUGUAGUACCCUUGUUUAUUUAUUUAUUUUUUUAAAUUUUUUUUAGUCGGUUGGUGAUGCAUGGGGGUGGCUUUGGAUGCCACGUGCACCCCCCAUGCAUCCUUAUCUUGUGGCCUACAGAGGGAUAGUGGUGAUUUGUAAUUUCCCUCUCUCUCUAGUUGGAAGUGGAGAGCUCGUGGAGGCUAUAGUUGGAGAUUGGAGCNUAUUUUGGAUUUGGACUAUGUAUAUGAAACUCAGUUUGUUUAUCUUCUGUUUUUUUUAGCAGCUCUCUACUACUGUUCGUAGUAGCGUUUGAUUUACAGGUACAGCUGUCGCUUCGUAUACAGAGAAAAUUUCUUUGUAUACGGCGGAUUUGUCGGCGUGCCCGGGGAACUAGACAUCCGGGGCGUGACAACAUCCCUUCAUCUAGAGCUGAAAUCUAAUAGCUAGUGGUUGGUACUAUUAUUAAUAUAGUAACCUAAUUCUAUAUAAAUAUUGGCUAGGGUUACUAUACUCUUAUGUGUAUAGACCCCUUUAUACUUAUAAUUUUUUGGUCGUUGGAUGUGCAAUUAGGAUGAUAGUGGUACCCUAGGAUUGAGUGGGUGGCUGGUUGAAUAGUAUGAUUUACGGAUGGAAAUAGUUAAAAGUAUAGAUCUAACGAUGAAAAACUUAUGAGUAUAAAGAAAUCUAUACUAAUAAGAGUAUAGUAGCCGAACUCUCCCUAUAUAUAAUUAUAUAUAAUAUAUAUUUUAAUUAUAAAAAAUAAUAUAUAUUAUGUAUUUUAAUUAUUUGUAUAUAUAAUUUAGAUUAUUGGGCCCACAAAACCAAACCAGCAAAAUCUUACUCUAAUUGCUCUCUCUCUCUCUCUCUCUCUCUCUCUCUCUCUUUUUCAGAAUCACUUUUCUUAAUUUUUUUAAUAUUACAAUAUCGUAUUUCAUGCAUUCAUUUUGUAUGUUGAGCUAUUAGACAUUUUUUGUAUCGAAUUUUAGAUAUGUUUUAAAUUGCACGAUGUUAAAGAAUUUCAAGCAGCUUGUUUAGGGCUCGAGCUCGCUUGACUUGAAAUUAGGCUUGCUCGAGCUCGGCUUGAAUUAAUUUCAAACCGAGCUUGAGCCUAAAUUUAGGCUCGAAAUUAAUUUCAAGCCAAACUUGAGAUAAGGUAAGCUCACUUGAGCUCGACUCGUUUCCACCCCUAAGCAUACUCUUCCUCCAAUCCUUAAUUAAAUAGAAAAUCCUCUAAAAGUAUUAGUAUUAUAAAUACCCCUAUGAUUUAAAGAAAUAAUAAAAAAAUAUCUAUAUUGAUAACAUUCCAUCUAAAAACUAAAUAAAAUUUUUAUUUUGUCCAUCAUAUAUUAUCUCUACCUUUUAAAUUAACUUAAAAGAUUAUUUGCUUGAAAAUUAUAAAUACAAUUAAUUGAAUGUAAUUUAAAUUGAAACUAAUUAAUUAGAGAAAACUAAAAUGCACAGAUAGUAUAAAAAAAUCAUACUUAAUUAGAAAAAAGUAAAAGAAUAGAUUCACAAAAAAAUAUAAUAUAUCUUAGUUUUAAUUAAUUGUUAAUUAAUAUUAACAUUAGACCCAUAUGCUAUUAAAUUUUAAAAAGUGGAUAAAAAAGACAUUCAUAAACUAUAUCACAAACCAACGUUGAGUUAUUUUUACCGACUGUCCCUAGAGCAAGUGGUAAAAGGCUUGAUGGUUGGUACCCGAGACCCAAGUUCGAAUCCUAGUUAAUUCACAUUUUCAGUUAAAUUUAUUUCUAAAUGAAAUAAAUGAAGCGGGUAGCGUGCUACCUAUCUCUCAAAAAAAAAAAAAAAAACGUUGAGCCAUUUUUUGGAUAAGAAAUAAAUUUAUGGAAUGAUUUAAACGUAUCAUUCCUCCAACCCCUUAAUUACAUAAAAAACCCCCCAAAGUGUCAAAAUAAAAGAUAUCUCUCUAAUUAGAGAAACCGUCUUAAAUACCCCUAUUGAUAGUGAAUUAGUGAUCCAUCUAGGAUGUGGUAUCCUGAUGUUCAGCAGGAGAGGCUUAUCGACAGCUUUGGAGAGUGUCGGGACAAGUCUGAGUCGCGUUGGCGCGAAAUAGAUACAAAACGAACUCAGCCGGGACGCAAGAGCAGGACUUGGCAUUGGAAUCUGUAAACAGCAGAUUUUCUGCUUGUUGUACCGGUACAACCAUCAAGGAGUACUGGUACACUUUCUGUACCGGUACAACAUCAGGGGUGUACCGGUACACUUUGACAGAUUUUGCGCAGCUACUCUCGGGUUGCCAUUUGUACCGGUACAUUUGCCCGUGUACCGGUACACCUAAGUAGGUAAGGGGCUUUUUGGUAAUUUCGUGCCUUGUACGUGUCACCACUCCACCACUUCGCUAUUUACAUGUGUAGAGAGGUUGAGAGAGAGUAUUCUACCUGCUUCUUCUCCCCUUUCUCUCUAGCAUCGGCCGAGCAAGGAAGAGCUCGGGUGGAGUUCGAGUUUUGCCGAUGUCGCGCCGUGGUGCCGUUUGAGUGUGUCUUCGUCGUCGUAGCAUCGCGAGGAGGCCGGGCAAGGGUACAAUUCCGCCGUUCUCGACGUCGCGUCGAAUUGGGUUUAGCUAUCGAGGUUGGUUAAUCAUCGGUUUGUCUUCUAAGUGUAUAGUGUUAGUUUUAAUUAUUUAAAACUAUGAUUUAAAACUUGAUUUUAAUAUUAUUAUUAUUAUUAUUAUUAUUAUUAUUUUAUAUAUAUAUAUAUAUAUAUAUAUAUUAAUUAACCCUACAAAUCUAAUCUGGAUUGUAUCCAGAUUUGGUCCAAGAGAGAUCUUGAUCAGAUCUCUCUUGAUUUGAUACAUGCCUCGGGAAGGGACUGGGCUAUCCUAGUCAACCCUUGGGAAAUGGCAAGAUCCUAGUCAAGGAUCUUGCCUUGACUCUCCCGUUGGAAGCUCUCCUAUAUAAGGAGAGGUGGUGCAUUUACUUAGAUACAUAAGAAGAAUAUAACUUCUUCUUAAACCGAGAUUCUUCAUUCUUUCUAAUCCUCUUUAAACCUCUUCUAUAUUUAGUACACUAAACUUUACUAUUUUUGCUGGAUCUCUGAAAGCUAAUUGGGUUCGUGUUGCGCCACCCUGAAGACGUGCCGACGGGGCGGACAGUGGUCGUUGUAUCGCUAGGAGUGAUUGCCGGAGCCUCGCACGUGGAGGGGCAAUCUUGCUUCUAGGACAGUGCAUUCGCACGCCUCGACUCACAGGCUUCAUCUGAUCUCUUGAUCUCUAUUGCAUUAAUUAUUUAAUUUUUAUUAAGAUUUUUAAAAGCAGAAGUAGAAUAGUUUUCAUUUAAAAUUGAUUAUAAAAAUAUUUUACUAAAGAUUUUAGAAAGAGAAUAUUUAUUCCAACAUAUAGUUGCUCGACAUGUGUUGUUGUGUUGAUAGAUUUUGCUCAGUUCAUGAAUUUUAGCAUAUUCCAUGUAAAAAUCUUAAUUGGAGCUUCCUCGUUGCAUGUAUCUACUAGCACAUGUUCGACUGGAAUUUGACUUAGGAGAAAACAACGAUUAUGACUUGUCAUAUGCUUAAACUACUUGAUUUAGCUCUAGGAGCCGUUGUUAUUUUGUAUCGAUGCAGUAUCAGUGUGGUGGAUAUCGCAGGUAGUUUAGAUUUCACUUACGCUCGUGCUGGGAUGCCGAGUGUAUUUUUACAGUAGUGUUCAGACUGUUCCGGAGUGUUGGGGGCCGUCGGGGUUGACGGUGGACCUCUAUCGCCAUUUUGGCGUCAGAUUGUGCCGAGAGCACGCGACCUAUUGGUUGUUAGACCAGUUGGACCCUGUUUCUUGACUUUGGCUUGUGAGAGCCUGAUUGAGCUCGACAGAGAUACGCUGCAUACUCGGUUGGGUAGCUCCCACGAGUGCCACUCCGGAGACGGGCGUUGUGCUUUCGCAUUGGUGUCGUUUGUGCAGGUUGGACUUGCUCUCCACGGACCGCUUAGUGUGGAAAUAGCUGUCUAGUCGCAAUCGGGCGGGAUGGGUGUGUUCACAGUCUCAGGAACGGGUAUGCUUACAGUCCCAGUUCGAUUAGGUCAGAAUUGACAUUUCCUACAGUUGGUUAGUAUAGAGCAUGAUAGUGUAGUGACUUGUAGCUGUAGAUUUCCUUUCAGCUUUCUUCUACUAUUUUUGCUCCCUUCUGUAGAUUUGGUGGGUGGACCGACGAUGUGGAGGGCAGCACCCACCCUAUUUUUGUAGAGCCUGCUGUUCCGGCUGCUGCUUCCUCGGAGACUGAUCGUGGCAAGGGCGUUGCCAGUUAGAGCCCUUGUGACGACCCCGACUUCCCAGUGGGUUACCCAUUCUAGGACUACUCCCGUCCUAGCACGCUUAGCUCUCUUAACCUCUUGGGUCUAGCUACCACCCAAAAUGCUUAAGCCGGGUUAAGAGUUUAGCCCUAUUAUAUCUCAUAUAUAGGACUAUCUGGGGUCUCACAAUCUCCCCUCUUUUAAGCCCUGACGUCCUCGUCAGGCUCAGACUCACAAGUACUAGGCGAUGUGAGACUCAUCUCGCUAGCCCGUCAUCCAGACCCUGGCUCAGUCGAGGCUCAUCUCACACUUCCGGCUGGUAAUUGGCUCUGAUACCAUCUGUGACGACCCCGACUUCCCAGGAGGUCACCCAUCCUAGGACUACUCUCGUCCUAGCACGCUUAACUCUCUUAACCUCUUGGGUCUAGCUACCACCCAAAAUGCUUAAGCCGGGUUAAGAGUUUAGCCCUAUUAUAUCUCAUAUAUAGGACUAUCUAGGGUCUCACAGCCCUUCCCAGUUGCUGCUGCUCGAGAGGUUACCAGCUACAGGUAGUGCUAGUUUUUUGAGUUUCUUAUACAUAUUUGUUGUAUCUCGCUGGGCGAGCAUUUUUGUAUAUCUGGAUGUAUGUAUGUAUGUGGAACUUGUCCCUAUUUAUACCAGUUUUAUUUGGGCAGCUCUAUACUACUGGUUGUAGUAUUGUAUUUGUUACAGGUACAACUACGCUUCGUAUACAGGAAAAAUUUAUUUGUGUACGACGGAUUUGUCGGCGUAUCUGAAAAACGUGUAAUCCGGGGUGUGACAGAUUAAAUUAAAUAAAAUUUUUAUUUUGCCCUUCAUCUAUUUUCUAUGUCUUUUUAAUUAACUUGAAUAUCUUUUCUGAAAAUUGCAAAUACUGUUAAAUUUAUAUUAAAUUGAAACUAGUUAAUUCGAACAACGAAAACUACACAAAUAGUCAGCAAAAAAAAAUCAUUAAUUUAGACGAAGUAGAAAAUUGAUCAACAAAAAAUAUGGUAUAUCUUUGGUUUUAAUUAAUUAUUAAUUAAGAUCAAUAGAGACAAAUAUGAUUUUCAAUUGAAAAAAUAUAAAUUUAACUAGUCAAACAACAUAAUCAUAGACUAAAUCAUAAAGAAAAACUGAGUUAUUUUUGAAUGAGAUACAUAAUAUCAUACAAUUAUUUAUAAUUUGGUAUAACCAGAGACAAAUUAGUCUAAAACUCUUUGUCAACAUGAUGGACGGCAUUUGGACAUAAUUCGUUAAUUUAUAAUGGUAAAUGAUAUUGACAAUUUUGAAGGAGUAUUCAUAAUUUUUUAGAACUUUCGAGGGGCAAGUUUAAAAUUGCUCCUUAAUUUAUUAGCUCUACAUAAUAUCACGCAAUUAUUUAUAAUUAGUUACAAAUAGGGAUAAAUUAGUCCAAAAUUCUUAGUCAGCCUUACAUAAGUGUGUUUUUGACAUAAUUUAUUAAUUUAUAGCGAAAAAAUGAAGGGAUAUCCGCAACAUCUUAUCACUUUUGAGGGGCCACUUUUGAAAUUGCCACUUAAUUUAUUAGCCCCGUAUAAUGCCAGAAAUUAUUUAUAAAUAGGUAUAAAUAGAACAAAUAAGUUCAAAACUUUAAUUAGUCAAUGCAAUAAAAGGAACUCUUAAGAUAAUUUAUUAAUUUGUAGUAGCGCACAUGAUAUAUUAACAAUUUUGAAAAGAUGCCUAUAAUAUUUUAUAACUUUUAAGCAUUUAUUAAAAUUUGUGCUCAUUAAGUUAUAGAAUUUUUAGCCAACCUUCCGAGACACAAGCUGUUUAAUUACGAUCUAAGGGACUGUUUGGUUACAUAUAGUUGUUACUGCAUUGCAGUAGUAACUACAUACAAAUACAAAUUUGGUGUUUGGUUUGAUAUAUUUAAUUUCAACUGCUGCAGUAGGAAUUGUACGAGGAGGCCCAACUAUAGCAGUUGGAGAGAGUAACUUUAAAUAAAAGAUAAGUUGACCUCUCUAAUUAUUUUCUAAAUAAAAAAAAAUAUAUUUUUUUACAUUAUUGGAGAUAUUCUCAUCAUCAUAUAUAUAAAAUGAUAAAAUUUUAAAAAUCAUUUCUCAGCUGCAUACAACCAAACAAAUUAUUUAUAAGUACAGUACUUUCUACUAUAUCCAACCAAAUAGGAUGGAUGUGGUUGCAAUAACUAUAGUUUCAACUGUAUGCAUCUUCAAUUACACUGUAUUUAUAAUUAUAUUUAACUAAACGGAUUCUAAAAAUUGUUG